rnacentral:rRNA from 1 species
UACGUAGGCAGCAAGCGUUGUUCGGAAUUACUGGGCGUAAAGAGUGUGUAGGCGGUGCUCUAAGUUCGGUGUGAAAUCUCCCGGCUUAACUGGGAGGGUGCGCCGGAAACUGGAGUACUCGAGCGUGGGAGAGGAAAGCGGAAUUCCUGGUGUAGCGGUGAAAUGCGUAGAUAUCAGGAGGAACACCGGUGGUGUAGACGGCUUUCUGGGACCAUAGCUGACGCUGAGACACGAAAGCGUGGGUAGCAAACAGG